rnacentral:misc_RNA from 1 species
GAAAUGCGAUAAGUAAUGUGAAUUGCAGAAUUCAGUGAAUCAUCGAAUCUUUGAACGCACAUUGCGCCCGCCAGUAUUCUGGCGGGCAUGCCUGUUCGAGCGUCAUUACAACCCUCAGGCCCCCGGGCCUGGCGUUGGGGAUCGGCGGAAGCCCCCUGCGGGCACAACGCCGUCCCCCAAAUACAGUGGCGGUCCCGCCGCAGCUUCCAUUGCGUGGUAGCUAACACCUCGCAACUGGAGAGCGGCGCGGCCACGCCGUAAAACACCCAACUUCUGAAUGUUGACCUCGAAUCAGGUAGGAAUACCCGCUGAACUUAAGC